rnacentral:lncRNA from 1 species
AUGUGGCCUAUUUGUUUUAUUAUAGGCAAAGCUUAAUUAUAAAGCUAAGCCUAUAAUAAUAUUUAUGCUUAAUAUGCAUGUAAUAUAUAUAUAUAUUAUUAUUAUAUCAGCAUAAAAUACGUAUUGACAAACCUAUUAUUAUUAUAUAUAAACAAUAAACAGAAACGAAUAAAUGAACCGAAAAAAAAAGACAAAAAAAGGACCCUUUCGGUUGGUUAUAUCAACCGGUGUUAAAGGGUCCUGCUACGUGGUAGCCAUGGCAGGACCAUUUAAAACCGGUUAGUAUAACCAACCGGUGUUAAGGGGGGGCUAUUGGCCCGGUGCCCUUAACCGGGAUUAACGGAUGGGCCUUUAGUCCCAGAAGGACAGCACCGGCUCAGGAACCGGGGUAACAGGUCCUUCCCGAUCGGUACUAAUGCCCGAACGUGCAGCAGUGUGCAAAAUCAGCCCAAGGGUUUUUUGUGUGGUUUAUCAAAAUUUAAUGUAGAUAAUAUUUGGUUUUAUAGUUCAGAGGGAUACGCUGAUCCGAAAGGGCCCUUACAAGUUGAAUCAACGAGACCUGGAGACGCUAUAAUGAAAAAAAAACUAAGGAAUGAGAAUGGGCCACCUUAUCCCUCAAACCGUUCAAAGCAAGCACACAAUAAAUUCCCCAUGCCAAUUCUUAGACAACAGUUCAAAUCGUUAGUCAAAGUCUGGUAGCUACAGGCUACAACAUACUCGAUAUAACUUACCCAUGGUAAGUUCGUUAUCUUCGUUGCCACAAAAAGAUGUGACAACAUUGUCCUUAGACGAAUACUCCCUUUGUCAACAUAAUAGUAAGC